rnacentral:lncRNA from 1 species
CUGGCCAAGAAAGGCUGAUUUUCUUCCAAAGCAGUCAAAAAAGUCAAAUGAGGUUAAAAUAACAGGAAGAGAAGAAGGUAGAGAUGUGGGUGAUGUCAGUGAUGGAGAACAUCUGACAGAUGGCCUUUUAAUGAAUACUCUUAUGAUUUAAAAUGUCUUCUUAAACUAAGGCUUGUGGUAAUUCUUUGAGUUCCAAUGUAAUUGUCAUGCAUUCACUAAGGAGAUUCUUUUAAAAAGCUGUCAAUUUGGUUGAGGAAGAUUAGAAAAGCAGAAGCAAGAACAUUUUUAGACAUUUUUAAAGAACUCAUUUAGCUGCUUCCUCAUUAAUCAGUCUGUUUUCUGAGAGCAAACUGCUGUAUAAUUACCAGGGGGAAAUUGCUCUUAAAGAGAAGCUGCAAAAUGUCUAUAGGAAAACGUGAUUUUCUCACUGGUAUCCAGAAAGACUUAACCUGCUUAACACAGAUGAAAAAUUUUUAUUAAUAAAGUGAUUUUCCAUCAUCUGGUCAUUUAGGGAGUUUCCUAUUUUAGAGCUGCUUAUUUAUAGGGAAUAUUGAUGGAGAAAGAGGAAAAAUGAUCAGGCUAAUAGGCAUUACAUCUGAAGUCCUGAGACUCCUUCUGAUUAUAUAAACCCUUCUCCCAUUGUGAGCACGGCACUCAAUGUCCCAGGUAGUCCUCAUAGUAUGUUUCGAGAUAAAAUCUCCCAUAUGAUAAAUGCCAAGUUUUAUUUAACAAGCCAGCAAGUCAGCAUCUGGAAGCAAGUCUACAGGCAGAUCUUUAACUUCCAGGAAUUCUGUUGGGGAUUUAAUGUUUCUAUAGCAACACUUGUUGUAGCAUAAACUAAAUUUGAAGAAUGUUGAGGGUUUGCCUCUGUGAUGUAUUUCUUUUAUCUAUGAACAUAAAUUACAGAGGGUCUCAAGAUUACAUAUAUACAUCUAAUCUAUAUUGUUAUAAAUAUACAUAAUUGUUUUUGCUAACAUUUUUUCUUUUCUGAAAACUCAUGUAGCAGCAGAAAUGCAAGUCUUUCAAAUGCUUUUGGGAAGACUGUGUAAAGAAAUGGCUGUCCCUUGUUCAAAGACAUCAAACAUUUCUAUGCAAGAUGUCUUAUUUCGCCAGUAGUAAUAUGCUCCCAUCAUAGGAAAAUUGGCUGUCUACAUUUAAAAGAAAAAUGAAGACAUCAUUAAAACUAUCAGGAAGUCUGGAAACAAUAUAGCAAUUUUUAACCUAAUGGUGCUAAGAGAGUGACAUGAAUGUUCUUGAUCAUCCAGUCUUUGAUGGUGGAUGCAGGUCUUUUUAGUCCAUUUUAAUGGUCAAGAUUGGUUAGCUUCAAAAGAAAAAGAUUUGAGAUUUGCAAAAAAAAAUUGUUCACCAAUGACAUGUUUUUGAGACCCCUUUUUAUUGUAACCUUGACUAUUAAGUUGCCUGUGGCUUCAUUUUUAUAGAAAAUGAGUUUCAGCAGGUGGAACUGAAAAUUACUGUUAGGAAAGAAUGAUUUCCAAUGAGGUCAGAAUUAGUACACAUUUAUGUUUUUACUGUUUAUAUAUGUACUUCCUCCACUUCUUAUGACCCAAAGUCAUAAUCUUCUCAUUGUAAGGUCACAAUUGUGACACAGUAACUAGUAAAAGGUUUAAAUCUUUUUUACAGCAGCAAAACAUUGAACCUUUGCCUUGUGGAUUCUCAUUUAUUAAGUCAAAGAGAAAAGGAGUAUAAGAUAUAAAGUUUCAUGUGCAGACCUUCCCUCCUUAUGAAUUCUGUGUUGAAAUGAAUAACUGUAAAACCCCAGGGAUUUGGCCAACCUCUUCUCCUGUCUCCUGCCAACUUUGACCUGGUUUUCUACAAGACUUAAGAGGUACAGAGACUGCACAGAAUCUCCCAGAAGACCUUAGUCAAUGCAGAAUUAAAUGGAAAAAUUCCACUUUUGUCAAAGGUGAAAAAUCUGGCUUUCCUUACAUGCAGAACCUCUAGAGACAUCAACAUGGUCUGUAUGAGCAACCUCAGCAAAAAAAAAAAAAAAGCCUCAUCU